GUUCGUGGAGUGAUCUGUCUGCUUAAUUGCGUUUCAUAUAUUGCUAUUUUUUUAACUAAAGUUUUGUUUAAUUAUUUAAUUAUAAUUAUAAACACAUUACUUUUUAGUUAAGGUAGCAUGAAGGCAACGAACGUGACCGCAGCCUCUUGUUGCCUCUUUUUUAUAUAUAUAAUGUUAAUUCAUUAUAUAAAUAGUGGCUAACUAGAGGGACUGCUUGAUAUCUUGUUAAAACAGAGGAAGGUUGCGGCAAUAACAGG
rnacentral:rRNA from 1 species